rnacentral:rRNA from 1 species
GUAGUCAUAUGCUUGUCUCAAAGAUUAAGCCAUGCAUGUCUAAGUAUAAGCAAUUACAAAGCGAAACUGCGAAUGGCUCAUUAUAUAAGUUAUCGUUUAUUUGAUAGUACCUUACUACAUGGAUAACCGUGGUAAUUCUAGAGCUAAUACAUGCUGAAAAUCCCGACUUCGGAAGGGAUGUAUUUAUUAGAUACAAAACCAAUGCCCUUCGGGGCUCUCUUGGUGAUUCAUGAUAACUUCUCGAAUCGCACGGCCCCGCGCCGGCGAUGGUUCAUUCAAAUUUCUUCCCUAUCAACUUUCGAUGCUGCGGUAUUGUCCUAGCAUGGUUGCAACGGGUGACGGAGGGUUAGGGCUCGACCCCGGAGAAGGAGCCUGAGAAACGGCUACUACAUCCAAGGAAGGCAGCAGGCGCGCAAAUUACCCAAUCCCGACUCGGGGAGGUAGUGACGAUAAAUACCGAUACAGGGCUCUUUUGGGUCCUGUAAUUGGAAUGAGUACAAUUCAAAUCCCUUAACGAGGAACAAUUGGAGGGCAAGUCUGGUGCCAGCAGCCGCGGUAAUUCCAGCUCCAAUAGCGUAUAUUAAAGUUGUUGUGGUUAAAAAGCUCGUAGUAGAAGCUCGGGCUCCGGCCGACCGGUCCGCCUCACCGCGUGCACUGGUUCGGCCGGGCCUUCACCUUCUGCGGAACCGCAUCUCCUUCACUGGGGGUGUCGGGGAAACAGGACGUUUACUGUGAAAAAAUUAGAGUGCUCCAGGCAGGCCUAUGCUCGAAUAGAUUAGCAUGGAAUAAUGGAAUAGGACGUGUGGUCUUAUUUCGUUGGUUUCUAGGACCGCCGUAAUGAUUAAUAGGGACAGUCGGGGGCAUCAGUAUUCAAUCGUCAGAGGUGAAAUUCUUGGAUCGAUUGAAGACUAACUACUGCGAAAGCAUUUGCCAAGGAUGUUUUCAUUUAUCAGGAACGAAAGUUAGGGGAUCGAAGACGAUCAGAUACCGUCGUAGUCUUAACCAUAAACUAUGCCGACUAGGGAUCGGACGGUGUUAUUUCUUGACCCGUUCGGCACCUUACGAGAAAUCAAAGUGCUUGGGCUCCAGGGGGAGUAUGGUCGCAAGGCUGAAACUUAAAGGAAUUGACGGAAGA